rnacentral:lncRNA from 1 species
UAUGAUGUGGCCUAUUAGGUGGUCGAACCUCUCAAUAUUCAAUGUUUUGGGAAGAUUAGCAUCGCUCAGGACUUUCAGCAAGAUCUAUCGAAGAUCUAUCGAUGAUCUUCAGAAUUUAAAAUCAAAUCAAGGAUGGAUACUUGGGUCGGUGCUUCUUCCAACUUCCUUACAAUUUUCACGUCAUUAUGGCCCAUUUUCACCAAGAAUUCUAUAACUUUCUCUUCGGGAACUUUUUUAGUAGACUUCUUCAUUUGCUUAGUUACUUGUUCGGGUAGACACAAAGAAUUAAUCUUUAAUAGGAUUGCUCCAUAAUUGGAUGUAAUACUUGACCCUUCUCCGUAGUUCCACAGAACUAUCUUCAAACUGACGAUUGGUUGUUGGGGGAUUAUCGAUAAAAUGGUCGACUGAGAUUUGGUCACUUAUGCGGGGUUAACACUUUUAAUUUCCUUGGUAAAUAUCUGGAUCACAAUAGGUUCUUCUUUUACUUCUUGAAAACUGAAGAUCAUAGUUAUCACCUCGUCAAAAUCAAUAAUCCGUUGUAGAUAUUGUGGAGAAUUCUUGCCAUUCCCUGACUCGAUCUCAUUACACCGACUCCAUUGUGUUUUGGCAAAGGAUUGAUAGUGAUAUUGGGUUAAUCAAGCUACUUAACCACUACGUUCCAAAUCUCGAUCAGAUUCUGAAUUUUAUGUUUCAAUGACCAAUAAUCUUGGGCAUCGUGCCCUGGAGAUCUCGAAUGAUAAGCACAAAAUUUACUCGAAUCAUACCUCUUGCCUUUCGGAUAUGCUAAUGGAGCUAACUCAAUAAUCUUAUUUUUAGCAACCAACAGUGCUAAUAUAUUCUCCAAGGAAUCACCCAAAUUGGUGAACUCCCGAUCUCGUUUGUUUUUGAACCUUCUUCUUCCAUCAUUAUUUUGGUUAAAUGUAGGUUGUUGUUAUUGUUGUUGUGGAUUGAACCCUUGUGCAGAGAUUGGAUGAUUUUUGUUGGAUUCUCUAGAUCUCCCUUAUAGAAUGAGGGAUACAUCCUCUUCUUUCUUCUUCAGAUUUCUUUUAGAGGUAUUUCCAUAGUUCUCUGCCUGGAGAUGCUCAGCUACAACUUUUAGAGCAAUGAAAUCCUUGAUCUUUCAAGACCGUAGUCCCAUCUCCGCCAUAUCCCCGUACUUAAUUAUCU